UUAAUUGAAGAGUUUGAUCAUGGCUCAGAUUGAACGCUGGCGGCAGGCCUAACACAUGCAAGUCGAGCGGCAGCGACAUACACAAUCCUUCGGGUGCGUUUAUGGGCGGCGAGCGGCGGACGGGUGAGUAAUGCCUGGGAAUAUGCCCUGAUGUGGGGGAUAACCAUUGGAAACGAUGGCUAAUACCGCAUAAUCUCUUCGGAGCAAAGAGGGGGACCUUCGGGCC
rnacentral:rRNA from 1 species